CAACAGGCUUUAUUUAAAGCUAUGUUUUGGUUAAAAAACUUUUCAU
rfam:Stegodyphus mimosarum contig64356, whole genome shotgun sequence.